rnacentral:rRNA from 1 species
UACGUAGGGGCAAGCGUUGUCCGGAAUUAUUGGGCGUAAAGAGCGCGUAGGCGGUCCGAUAAGUCGGCUGUGAAAGUCAGGGGCUCAACCCUUGAAAGCCGGCCGAUACUGUCGGACUAGAGUCCGGAAGAGGCGAGUGGAAUUCCCGGUGUAGCGGUGAAAUGCGCAGAUAUCGGGAGGAACACCAAUAGCGAAGGCAGCUCGCUGGGACGGUACUGACGCUAAGGCGCGAAAGCGUGGGGAGCGAACAGG